rnacentral:rRNA from 1 species
UACGUAGGGUGCAAGCGUUGUCCGGAAUUAUUGGGCGUAAAGGGCUCGUAGGCGGUUUGUCGCGUCGGGAGUGAAAUCCACUGGCUUAACUGGUGGCUUGCUUUCGAUACGGGCAGACUGGAGGUAUGCAGGGGAGAACGGAAUUCCUGGUGUAGCGGUGAAAUGCGCAGAUAUCAGGAGGAACACCAGUGGCGAAGGCGGCUACCUGGACCGGUUCUGACGCUGAUGCGCGAAAGCGUGGGUAGCAAACAGG